CUUUGCUCAAAGCACCACAGGGUAUCUUUCGACUUCUUGGUCUCUCCCACUAGAUAAUAAUUUCUAAGAAAUGAAGAACCACAUUUAUAAUGAUAUCUCCAUUGUGCAUUGCAGGAGACCCAUAAAAAUUCAUGGAAGGAAUGACUAUGAAUGAAUGAAAGGCUACAACCUGUACUAGGCUUAUGCUGGUCCCUCCAAAUUAGAUCCAGCCCAGCCUGCUGAGUGCUGCCCGGAGAAGGACUGUCCAAAUCAGUGCAAAAGGCACCUCUCAGCUUCCGUCAGCUUGUUCAUCCAGGAGAGGCUCCAUCUUCGAGGUCAGCUUACCCUCUGGAGAGAGAGGGAUCCCGAAUCAGAGAUGAAGCACCUUACGAGAAUGACGCCUGGAUGGAACACAAUAAGGAGAGGAAAGGGAGAGAGACAGACCUCAUCACUACAAGGUUAUUAGGCUUCAAGACUGCAAAUUUGAGAGAAUUAAGAAAUCUAAUCAGCCUGGUGCACUAAGAGGGAAGCUGCAAACUCCCGGGUGUGGAAGAAAGCCGGAGUAUCCUGAGGGAGAUCCUAAUUAAAGCACCGCCGAUUACAAUUCCUCUGAAAAAGGAAAGUGAAAGGACCAAGAAACAUCUGCUGUGGAUUCAUGAAGGACUGCUCAAGGAUGCAGAGUGUGAGAAAAACUCUUGACAGCGCUGAAGAGGCACAGCGCCUGUUUGUUCUCCAUCGGGCAAAGCUGGUGGAGAUGGGGCCUGGCAAUGCAGAGGCUGUGGUUUAGGAUUGUUUUAGCUGAUGGGGCAUCGUAAAAGGGAAAGGGGACAAGACUCCCUGUGCAGCCCAGAAUGGCCAAAUCAUCCCUGCAGUUCUCCUCAGGUUGCCUGGCAACCCCCUCUCAAGGGUUGGCUCCGGGCCCGUUCCCUGCUAUAUCCCUAAAAAGAAGUUUAGACCUGACUCGCGUAAGUGCUCAGAUUUCCUAGAUGUACCCUUGGAAUUGCUGAGCUGGAAGAGAACUCAGAAGUCGUACAACCCAAUCUCCCACAAAUAUAGAAACAGCAACUGUAAAAGCCCAGAAGAGACCCUAUCUCACAACGGAAGCCGAUAAUGAUGAGUGCUCACUUCUUCAAAUUCUCUUGUAUUUAUGGCAAGAGCAAAUGAACCCCUUUAAGGAUUUUCCUCCCUAAUGAAGAGAGAUGCCUCAGUGUCACACAGCUGGUAAGUGGCCCCAAGCUCUGCUUGUUAAACAUCCUAUCUGUUAAAAUCAUAGCAUCGCUCUGUGGAAAAAUGGAAUUGCAGAACUGGAAGCUAAUUUAGAAAUUAAGCACUCAUGUUGAGAAAUCAAGAUGGACUCAGAGCUUCUUUUUCUUUAUGUUUUUGUGUUUUAUUCUUCCACUCCAGUUUUGAAUGCCUCUUAAGAGACAACUUUUGUCUUACUGUAAUUGAUCAGGAUAGGCAUUCUGACAGCUGGUAAUUGUCAUGGCAAUAUCUACAGGGACCAACCAGAUCUGGAGCCACCAGGGAGGAUGGGUGAAGCGUGGGAACCAAGAUGGAAGGAGUUGAGCCAACUGUGGGCCUGCCCAAGUCUUUUCUUUUAUUCUCUUUGAAUGUGAGGUGAAGGGUCGAUGCUGUUGCCAUAUUGUGAACAAUGAG
rnacentral:lncRNA from 1 species